rnacentral:rRNA from 1 species
AUUGAACGCUGGCGGCAUGCUUUACACAUGCAAGUCGAACGGCAGCGCGGGCUUCGGCCUGGCGGCGAGUGGCGAACGGGUGAGUAAUAUAUCGGAACGUACCCAAGAGUGGGGGAUAACGUAGCGAAAGUUACGCUAAUACCGCAUACGAUCUAAGGAUGAAAGCAGGGGACCUUCGGGCCUUGUGCUCCUGGAGCGGCCGAUAUCUGAUUAGCUAGUUGGUGAGGUAAAGGCUCACCAAGGCAACGAUCAGUAGCUGGUCUGAGAGGACGACCAGCCACACUGGAACUGAGACACGGUCCAGACUCCUACGGGAGGCAGCAGUGGGGAAUUUUGGACAAUGGGGGCAACCCUGAUCCAGCAAUGCCGCGUGAGUGAAGAAGGCCUUCGGGUUGUAAAGCUCUUUUGUCAGGGAAGAAAAGGGAGUGGCUAAUAUCCAUUCCUGCUGACGGUACCUGAAGAAUAAGCACCGGCUAACUACGUGCCAGCCGCCGCGGUAAGAC